rnacentral:rRNA from 1 species
GACGAACGCUGGCGGCGUGCUUAACACAUGCAAGUCGAACGGAAAGGCCCUGCUUUUGUGGGGUGCUCGAGUGGCGAACGGGUGAGUAACACGCGAGUAACCUGCCCUUGACUUUGGGAUAACUUCAGGAAACUGGGGCUAAUACCGGAUAGGAGCUCCUGCUGCAUGGUGGGGGUUGGAAAGUUUCGGCGGUUGGGGAUGGACUCGCGGCUUAUCAGCUUGUUGGUGGGGUAGUGGCUUACCAAGGCUUUGACGGGUAGCCGGCCUGAGAGGGUGACCGGCCACAUUGGGACUGAGAUACGGCCCAGACUCCUACGGGAGGCAGCAGUGGGGAAUAUUGCACAAUGGGCGGAAGCCUGAUGCAGCAACGCCGCGUGCGGGAUGACGGCCUUCGGGUUGUAAACCGCUUUCGCCUGUGACGGAGCGUGAGUGACGGUAAUGGGUAAAGAAGCACCGGCUAACUACGUG